UACGAAGGGGGCAAGCGUUGUUCGGAUUUACUGGGCGUAAAGCGUGUGUAGGCGGCUUCGUAAGUUGGAUGUGAAAUCCCACGGCUCAACCGUGGACGUGCAUCCAAAACUACGUCGCUGGAGUCUCGGAGAGGAAGGUGGAAUGCUUGGUGUAGAGGUGAAAUUCGUAGAUAUUCGGAAGAACACCAGUGGCGAAGGCGACUGACUGGACAAGUAUUGACGCUGAGGUGCGAAAGCGUGGGGAGCAAACAGG
rnacentral:rRNA from 1 species